UGAUUGAGCAACACAGAAGAGAGACAGAAGACAGGAGUAAAUGGCAACAUAUGGUGGUAUAAGAGAACGACAGGACUGGGGAGCAAAGCCUCCUGCGGUUUAGGGCAUACCUCUGGGCGCACUGACGGAUUCCAUGGGGAAAUUCCAGUUCCCGCUACCACAACCGUCCCCUCUCAGGCCUUGGGUUUUUAUUAUUUUUAUCUAAAUAAAUGUCUAAAGUUUUAAA